rnacentral:rRNA from 1 species
UACGUAGGUGGCAAGCGUUGUCCGGAUUUACUGGGCGUAAAGAGCGCGCAGGCGGUCGUUCAAGUCGCGUGUGAAAGCCCCCGGCUCAACUGGGGAGGGUCACGCGAUACUGAUCGACUCGAAGGCAGGAGAGGGUAGUGGAAUUCCCGGUGUAGUGGUGAAAUGCGUAGAUAUCGGGAGGAACACCAGUGGCGAAGGCGGCCCACUGGUCCGGUACUGACGCUGAGGUGCGAAAGCGUGGGGAGCAAACAGG